AGUGAACGCUGGCGGCGAGCUUAACACAUGCAAGUCGAACGAGAACGGGUUAUAGCUUGCUAUAAUUGUCAGCUAAGUGGCGCACGGGCGAGUAAUGUAUAGGUAAUAUGCCUCUUACUAAGGGAUAACAAAUGGAAACGUUUGCUAAUACCUUAUACUCCUUAUUAACAGAAGUUAAUAAGGGAAAGAUUUAUUGGUAAGAGAUUAGCCUGUAUUGUAUCAGUUAGUUGGUGGGGUAAUGGCUUACCAAGACUAUGACACAUAACUGGUUUGAGAGGAUGAUCAGUCACACUGGAACUGAGACACGGUCCAGACUCCUACGGGAGGCAGCAGUGGGGAAUACUGCACAAUGGACGAAAGUCUGAUGCAGCAACGCCGCGUGGAGGAUGACACAUUUCGGUGCGUAAACUCCUUUUAUAUGAGAAGAUAAUGACGGUAUUAUAUGAAUAAGCACCGGCUAACUCCGUGCCAGCAGCCGCAGUAA
rnacentral:rRNA from 1 species